AUGGAGGGAGUGUUCAGUGCACUCCUUUAUCCCAACGUCCAGAAGGCCCUGAACUGCACCUUGUGGGAGCUGGACCACGAGCAACAAAAACUAGACAUCCAGGAAAAGAAAAUCAUUGCAGACAUCAAGAAGAUGGCUAAGCAGGGCCAGAUGGAUGCUGUGCGCAUUAUGGCAAAAGAUCUGGUUCGCACUUGGCGCUAUGUGUGUAAGUUUGUGUUGAUGUGGGCCAACAUCCAGGUUGUGUCCCUCAAGAUCCAGACACUCAAGUCCAACAACUCAAUGGCACAAGCCAUGAAAGGUGUCACCAAGGCCAUGGGCACCAUGAACAGACAGACAAAAUUGCCUCAGAUUCAGAAGAUCAUGAUGGAGUUUGAGUGGCAAGCAGAGGUCAUGGACAUGAAGGAGGAGAUGAUGAAUGAUGCCAUAGAUGAUACCAUGUGUGAUGAAGAAGAUGAAGAGGAGAGUGAUGCUGUUGUGUCCCAGGUCCUGGAUGAUCUGGGACUGAGCCUGACAGAUGAGCUGUCAAACUCCCCUCAAUUGGAGGCUCACUCAGUGUGGCUGCUGGUGGAAAUCAAGCAGAGGCUACAGCCUCAGCCCUGGCUGAUGCUGAUGCAGACCUAGAGGAGCAGCUCAAGAACUUGUGGAGGGACUGACUGCCCCACCUGCCACUCCAAGGGUACCACCAGAUGCCCAGGAUGGUUACCAUGAUCGCUCUGUAAUAAAAUACAUUGGACACUAAA